AUUUUCACAAGGCAGACAGAUACCAUAACCAUAUAGGUGGUUUUCCCUAUAGAUAAGGGAGGCUUAUCUAUUGCAGCCCAGAGGUGCUGAAGAUUGUGAUUUGCCCAAAUGUAGGAAACCCAAUGGAAUACCAUAUAGUAGUGGCAAGAUUAUUUCUGAACUCUCUUCUA
ensembl:snRNA Gm22891 predicted gene, 22891